AUGAAGGCGCGGCAGUUCUUGAACGUUGUGAUGCAGAAGUAUCGCAAUGGCAGCUUGUACACGGUGAGUCGCAUCAAGCCCGAGGAGCAACUCUUCUACGGAUCCACGGCGGAAGCACGGGCAGCAGCAAAAUCCAAGACCAUCACACGGAUCCCUCCGCCCAGGCUCAGACUCGAACGCUCCAUCUCACUCUCAGACGAGGAAAGGAUGGAUUUCCUGCCCUUCCAUGAAGGAAGCAGCGGCGGCGCUAGCAAGAUCCUCUGCGUGGACGCCGAGGGGCACACCAUCCUGUACGACAUGGACGCCGGUUCCCUCCAGCCGAUUCCACACCUCAACAGUCCCAAGGGGAGCAGGCCCAUCGGCUUCUCCGCCACUAAUCGCGAAGCCUCCGACCCCGAGCGCGCUGAUGCCUUCUACGUCAUGGGAAGGUUCCCUUCCAGCUACGGUCCCUACAACUUCGAGGAGUGCCCUGUCAUUUGCCAUGCGCUGCUUCACAUUGAAGGUGACUCGAUCCUUGUCAUCUCCUCUGGACAAAAAAGCGUCGGCACCUACUGCUUCAACACGGCCAGUCGCAAGUGGUUUAAGGCCGGCCCCUGGAAACUGCCAUUCUACAGUCGUGCCGUGCAUGUACCAGAGCUCGACAACCUCUUGUUUGGUAUUGACAAUGAUGAACACCACUUUUGUGCAAUGGAUAUCUCCUCCCGUCUUCUCUCGAAAAGGGGUCCACCUUUGGUCUACACUUGGCCACACCUUGAUCUGCCUGAGGACUGGGCGAUGCUAGAUUGCAGCUUCGUCUAUUUGGGAGCUGGGAGGUUUUGUAUCAGCAAAGUCUUUGAGUUUGGUUUCGACGAACGCACUGGCAACAUGACUGAAAUGGGUGUUGUGAUGUCUGGUGUGGAGGUAGUGCGUUACAAGAAGUCUGGACUCGUUAUGGUCAAUCAUAGGUCGAAAUUCUACAAUUGCAUAUGGGAUGACAUCCAGUGUGUCUUGUAA
rnacentral:rRNA from 1 species